rnacentral:rRNA from 1 species
CUAGCAUAUCAAUAAGCGGAGGAAAAGAAACCAACCGGGACCGCCUCAGUAACGGCGAGUGAAGCGGCAAGAGCUCAAAUUUGAAAGCUGGCUCCUUCGGGGUCCGCAUUGUAAUUUGCAGAGGAUGCUUCGGGUGCGGCCCCUGUCUAAGUGCCCUGGAACGGGCCGUCAGAGAGGGUGAGAAUCCCGUCUGGGAUGGGGUGUCCGCGCCCGUGUGAAGCUCCUUCGACGAGUCGAGUUGUUUGGGAAUGCAGCUCUAAAUGGGUGGUAAAUUUCAUCUAAAGCUAAAUACUGGCCGGAGACCGAUAGCGCACAAGUAGAGUGAUCGAAAGAUGAAAAGCACUUUGAAAAGAGAGUUAAAAAGCACGUGAAAUUGUUGAAAGGGAAGCGCUUGCGACCAGACUCGCCUCCAGGGUUCAGCCGGCAUUCGUGCCGGUGUACUUCCCUGGGGGCGGGCCAGCGUCGGUUUGGGCGGCCGGUCAAAGGCUCCCGGAAUGUAGUGCCCUUCGGGGCACCUUAUAGCCGGGAGUGCAAUGCGGCCAGCCUGGACCGAGGAACGCGCUUCGGCACGGACGCUGGCAUAAUGGUCGCAAACGACCCGUCUUGAAACACGGACCAAGGAGUCUAACAUCUACGCGAGUGUUCGGGUGUCAAACCCGUACGCGCAGUGAAAGCGAACGGAGGUGGGAGCCCCCUCGCGGGGCGCACCAUCGACCGAUCCUGAUGUCUUCGGAUGGAUUUGAGUAAGAGCGUAAAUGUGGGGACCCGAAAGAUGGUGAACUAUGCCUGAAUAGGGCGAAGCCAGAGGAAACUCUGGUGGAGGCUCGCAGCGGUUCUGACGUGCAAAUCGAUCGUCAAAUUUGGGUAUAGGGGCGAAAGACUAAUCGAACCAUCUAGUAGCUGGUUCCUGCCGAA